UGCGGAGGGUGCAAGCGUUAAUCGGAUUUAUUGGGCGUAAAGGGCGCGUAGGCGGGGUAGUAAGUUAGAUGUGAAAUCCCGAGGCUCAACUUCGGAGCCGCACCUAAAACUACUAUUCUAGAGGUUAAGUGGAGAAAAGGGAAUUCCACGUGUAGCGGUGAAAUGCGUAGAUAUGUGGAAGAACACCGGUGGCGAAGGCGCUUUUCUAACUUAAUCCUGACGCUGAAGCGCGAAAGCAAGGGGAGCAAACAGG
rnacentral:rRNA from 1 species